rnacentral:rRNA from 1 species
AUUGAACGCUGGCGGCAGGCCUAACACAUGCAAGUCGAGCGGAUGAAGGGAGCUUGCUCCUGGAUUCAGCGGCGGACGGGUGAGUAAUGCCUAGGAAUCUGCCUGGUAGUGGGGGAUAACGUCCGGAAACGGGCGCUAAUACCGCAUACGUCCUGAGGGUGAAAGUGGGGGAUCUUCGGACCUCACGCUAUCAGAUGAGCCUAGGUCGGAUUAGCUAGUUGGUGGGGUAAAGGCCUACCAAGGCGACGAUCCGUAACUGGUCUGAGAGGAUGAUCAGUCACACUGGAACUGAGACACGGUCCAGACUCCUACGGGAGGCAGCAGUAGGGAAUAUUGGGCAAUGGGCGAAAGCCUGACGCAGCCAUGCCGCGUGUGUGAAGAAGGUCUUCGGAUUGUAAAGCACUUUAAGUUGGGAGGAAGAGCAGUAAGUUAAUACCUUGCUGUUUUGACGUUACCUAAAGAAAAAGCACCGGCUAACUUCGUG